GACUGGCAGGAGAUAAUCUUGGACUACUUGGUGAGUAGGCCAGCGACGGACUGUAUUUGGCAGACUGAGGAUUGUAGCUUGGGGAUGUAGGACUAUAGGUUGGUGAAGUUGGGCUAUAACUUGGUGAAGUUGGACUAUAACCAGGAGAAGUGGGGCUAUAGGCUGGUGAAGUGGGGCUGUACGAUGGAGAAGUAGGGCUGUAUGACGGUGAGGUAGGGCUGUACGAAGGUGAUGUUGGGCUGUAGGAAGGAGAGGUUGGGCUGUACGAUGGUGAGGUGGGGCUGUAUGCAGGUGAGGUGGGGCUAUAUGCAGGUGAGGUGGGGCUAUAUGCCGGUGAGGUGGGGCUAUAGCUUGGUGAAGUUGGACUGUAACUGGGAGAAGUGGGGCUGUAACUUGGAGAGGUCGGGCUGUAGCUUGGGGAUGUUGGGCUGUAACUUGGGGAGGUUGGGCUAUAGCUUGGUGAAGUAGGUGAGUACGAUGGACUGGUAGGAGAAUAGGCAGGACUGGUUGGACUAUAACCAG
rnacentral:lncRNA from 1 species